UACGGAGGGUGCAAGCGUUGUCCGGAAUCACUGGGCGUAAAGGGCGCGUAGGCGGCUCGGUAAGUAGGGGGUGAAAUCCUGCGGCUUAACCGCAGGGCUGCCUUCUAAACUGUCGAGCUCGAGCACGGUAGAGGCAGAUGGAAUUCCCGGUGUAGCGGUCGGAAUGCGUAGAGAUCGGGAAGAACAUCAGUGGCGAAGGCGGUCUGCUGGGCCGUUGCUGACGCUGAGGCGCGACAGCGUGGGGAGCAAACAGGG
rnacentral:rRNA from 1 species